AUUGAGCGCUGGCGGCAUGCUUUACACAUGCAAGUCGAACGGCAGCGCGGGGCAACCUGGCGGCGAGUGGCGAACGGGUGAGUAAUAUAUCGGAACGUACCCAGAAGUGGGGGAUAACGUAGCGAAAGUUACGCUAAUACCGCAUACGAUCUACGGAUGAAAGUAGGGGACCGCAAGGCCUUAUGCUUUUGGAGCGGCCGAUAUCUGAUUAGCUAGUUGGUGAGGUAAAGGCUCACCAAGGCGACGAUCAGUAGCUGGUCUGAGAGGACGACCAGCCACACUGGAACUGAGACACGGUCCAGACUCCUACGGGAGGCAGCAGUGGGGAAUUUUGGACAAUGGGCGCAAGCCUGAUCCAGCAAUGCCGCGUGAGUGAAGAAGGCCUUCGGGUUGUAAAGCUCUUUUGUCAGGGAAGAAACGGUAGAGGCUAAUAUCCUUUGCUAAUGACGGUACCUGAAGAAUAAGCACCGGCUAACUACGUG
rnacentral:rRNA from 1 species